GCCAAACCUCAUUGCAAUUUCUAAAAGGGACUUAUAGUGUCCCCAAGUACAUUGUAAUGAGCACAUACAAAUGUGCUCAUAUAUUUACUAAUAUGAGUAUCAUUAAGGUCAUUUUGUGGAAUAAUAAUCAAUACUCCUUUGUGCACAAAUUGUUCAAUGCUUCAAAAUAGAGAAUAAUAAAAUUAGUGUCAAAGAACUAUUCACACUUGGGAAACCUUAUUGCAUUACUGCUUAGUAUCCACAUGAGAGAAUAGAAAGCACAAUCUAUAGAACAGAACCAAUUGAAAUGAAAUGCCUUAUUAAACUAUUUCACUUCUCCAUUCCCUAUUUAUUACCAUGAAUAGCUAAAAAGAAGAAGAAAAAAAAAAAAUAUAUCCUUCCCUACUUUCUACACAGUACAAC